AGCUCACUGCUGUAGCCAUUUAUAAACCUCUCCAUUGAUGCCCUGAAAGCAUCAAGCAAGCAAUCAGUAAGGCAAAUUUCUUUGGACAUUUUAAGGAUUCAUUUUUUGGCACGAAAAUCCAAUUGUUGUUGGAACAAAAGACAUGCAGAAUGUCACCAGCUUCUCCCAGGAUUUCACCUGCCCGGUUGCUCCAGCCAGGAUGUUCAAGGCACUGUGCCUCGACUCGCACAAAUUGAUCCCCAAACUCGUCCCACAAGGCAUCAAGAGCAAUGAAAUCAUCCAAGGAGACGGUGGGCCUGGAACCAUCAAAAAGACCACCUUUGCCGAAGGUAGCCAGCUGAAAUCCAUGAAGCACAGGAUCGACGCCAUCGACACAGAGAACAUGAUGUGCAAGUACACUCUGAUUGAGUGCGAUGUUCUGCAGGACAGGCUGGAGGCAGUGUUGUACGAAGUUAAAUUUGAAGACGCAGGCAAUGGAGAAAGCAUUUGCAGGAUGAGCAGCGAGUAUCACACGAAGCCUGGCGUGGAGCUUAACGAGGAGGACAUCAAGCGGGGCAAGGACAGGGCUCUGGGACUAUUCAAUAUUGUCGAGGAGUACCUCAUGGCAAAUCCAACUGUGUAUGCUUAAAAAAUUUGUUUCUUCUGAGAUACUUUGUGCCAAGAAACUUUCUUUUUUCUGGCAUUUUCGGAUUUCAAGUCAUUUUCAGCUUUGGCAUUCAGUUGCAUACGAAGGAAUCUUAGAAAGGUAGCGCCCGCAAAAUAAAAAAAAGAAGAAGAAAGAAACUGUUUAUUUGUGUCUCUAUGUAUGUAAUCGCUUGGAUACGUACAGAAUCUCUUAAGUACUUGCAGAUGUAAUGUUACAAAUGGAGUCCAGGGUCAUAAUUCAUUACCGGUUUUCCAAUA